rnacentral:lncRNA from 1 species
UUCUGGUCGACAUUUUCCACAGGAGCAAAGGAACUCCUUUGUUCAACCCUAACUAGUCUAAAUCCAAGAAAUUGAGAGGCCAAAUCAGUCCCAAAUCGAAAUCCAAGCAUGUAUUAGUGAUCACCUCAGUGAAAUGAUCAUAAGUUUGACGCCUAACGAGCUAGGUGGAGGCUUGGGAAAGGAAGCGGGUCAAACAAAUCAAGAAAGGAGGAAAAGCACAAUUUGGAUGCAAGGUAAGUAAAGCUUACAUUUUAGUUACUUGAUACCUAUUGGUUUGAUAGGUCGUGAAUAAUAAGUCUUGUUUUAAAUUAUGAUGUUCCGACACGGCAAGUGCGGUCCGGAACAAAAGACAAUGGACAUAAAUCAUGUUUAAUGGAUAAAAAGGAGCUAAUGUGGUUGAUUAGUCAUGAAAUGACUAAAAGAUAAUGAGUUUUUAAUGGUUACCUUAUAAGGUGAACCAUUGCAAAUAGUAAGGGUAAAAUGGCACUUUGGUCAUUUGUGAACAAUAACCGUCUAAUUGGGAAGGGACACAUUAUAGCUUGGGUUAUAAUGGGUCAAAGAAAUAAAUAAAUGAUUUACAAGUAGAACGACUAUACGGUGUAAACCGAAGUUAGUCAUAUAGAUAAGGUGGUAAUAAAUACUACCUCAUAGAGCUUCAUGGUCCUUUAGACCAAACGGGUCAAAAGGUGAAAUUAUCACCCUUGACAAUAUUGACUAAUAAUUGUUGAGCUAUGUGAUUAUAGAAAUAAAUAUCGGAUGGAUAUGUACAUCGCUAUCGCUUAGCGGCUACUAAGGCAAGGUAUCGAAACGAAUCAAUAUAUUGACUCGAGCCAGGUAUGUAUAUUUGGUCAAAUUAUCAUUAGAACUUGAAGCUCAAUGAGGGCUAAACAAGUUAAAAUGGACAUUGGGUUAUCUUUUAAGUAAACCGAAUGAUUUAGGUUAUUGUCAUUAUGUUUUAAGAACAUGAUGUCUAUUUAAACAAGAUUCCUAGUUCAACCAGUGGAAUUUUGGUCAAUUACAACAUGAAAAGUCCUUUGUUGUUAAGAAAGGGUUUAAGAUGACUAAAACGCCCUCGUAAGCAAAAUCGAGUAAAUGAACCUUAAGAGUCGUUUAAAAACAAGUUAUAUGAUCAAGCAAAUACUUUGAAUAAGUAUAGAGAAUGAAAAGGGUAAAUCUUGGGUCAAAAGAUUCAAUAUAAGUCUUUGUCGUAAAUUAGCAAUCCGACGAGAAAAACUCGGAUUAUAUAGAUCAUCUCAUUGAGCUCACCACAAAUUUAGUUGUGGUUGAAGAUCUCAUAAUAAGUAAUGUGGUAUAAUAACGCUAGAAACGGAUGAAAGCGUUUCAUGCUCAAAAUAUGCAUAAAUAUCCUUAACGGGUCAAAUAUGCAUAUGAGCGUAAACGGGUUUAAGAUACGUAAGGAACCCGUGACUUGAACCUAAUAUGAUAGGAAUUAUUGAAAUUAUGAUUACCGUGAAAAUAAGGAUCAAACAAACAUGUUUCGUUUGAUAAAAACAUGAAUGGGUCAAAAUUACGGCAAAUUGGAAAAGCUGGAUGCAGGGUCCACCGUAAAUUACGGUGCCACCGUAAUUUACGGUGGAGAUGAAAAG